AACCCUCCCUCAUCAUUAAGCGGACAUUUCUAUACAGGGGCCUACAUAGAGCUCGGGAGUCGAGGCGCUAUACAAUUGGAAGGGGGAAAGAAUCCCUACAGAUUCUGGCUACUCCUUAGGAAGUGCUGAAGGGCCAUGUGGAACCAGUUUCUGCAAGGUCAAAAAGAAAGAAGGCUGUUUUCAUCCUAGGAGAGAAAAAAAACAACAGAAGUGAACUGUAUAUUCUUUAAAAACCAACUGACAUCCAUGAAGGAGGAGACCUUUUCUGAAGCAUCGGAAAGAAACAGGGUCUCACCUGGCUUGCCACAUCUCUUCAUUUGCUACUAACUCCCAGGAAGAUGAGUCAAACCUUAAAAAAGAUACAGCCUGCUUUGGAGAAGAAGUGAACCACAUUUAAAGGCAAGGUAAUUCCUGCUUUCCAUCACUGCAACAUUCAAAGAAGACUGACAGCUGUUGAACUUGCCUUCUGUUUUUUGCCAGCUCCCUCCUCUCUCAGAAGCAAGAAACUAGCCCAGAGGCUACUUUCAGUUAUUCAGUACUACAGGACCCAGUUAGUUGCACAAUAAUGAUCUUGUAACAAGAAGCACAUUCAUAAAUCAGGAAAACACUAUUCACCAAUCACCCAGAACAGAUGCAAUAUGUGAGGAUAGAAAUCGGCAAUAGAGACAGUAUUAUCCUAUACUGAUCUCUAUUCAGUUGUCAUUAAAGGUGCUAAGACACUGUGA